ACGCUGGCGGCGUGCCUAAUACAUGCAAGUCGAGCGAACGGACGAGAAGCUUGCUUUUCUGAUGUUAGCGGCGGACGGGUGAGUAACACGUGGAUAACCUACCUAUAAGACUGGGAUAACUUCGGGAAACCGGAGCUAAUACCGGAUAAUAUUUUGAACCGCAUGGUUCAAAAGUGAAAGACGGUCUUGCUGUCACUUAUAGAUGGAUCCGCGCUGCAUUAGCUAGUUGGUAAGGUAACGGCUUACCAAGGCAACGAUGCAUAGCCGACCUGAGAGGGUGAUCGGCCACACUGGAACUGAGACACGGUCCAGACUCCUACGGGAGGCAGCAGUAGGGAAUCUUCCGCAAUGGGCGAAAGCCUGACGGAGCAACGCCGCGUGAGUGAUGAAGGUCUUCGGAUCGUAAAACUCUGUUAUUAGGGAAGAACAUAUGUGUAAGUAACUGUGCACAUCUUGACGGUACCUAAUCAGAAAGCCACGGCUAACUACGUGCCAGCAGCCGCGGUAAUACGUAGGUGGCAAGCGUUAUCCGGAAUUAUUGGGCGUAAAGCGCGCGUAGGCGGUUUUUUAAGUCUGAUGUGAAAGCCCACGGCUCAACCGUGGAGGGUCAUUGGAAACUGGAAAACUUGAGUGCAGAAGAGGAAAGUGGAAUUCCAUGUGUAGCGGUGAAAUGCGCAGAGAUAUGGAGGAACACCAGUGGCGAAGGCGACUUUCUGGUCUGUAACUGACGCUGAUGUGCGAAAGCGUGGGGAUCAAACAGGAUUAGAUACCCUGGUAGUCCACGCCGUAAACGAUGAGUGCUAAGUGUUAGGGGGUUUCCGCCCCUUAGUGCUGCAGCUAACGCAUUAAGCACUCCGCCUGGGGAGUACGACCGCAAGGUUGAAACUCAAAGGAAUUGACGGGGACCCGCACAAGCGGUGGAGCAUGUGGUUUAAUUCGAAGCAACGCGAAGGACCUUACCAAAUCUUGACAUCCUUUAACAACUCUAGAGAUAGAGCCUUCCCCUUCGGGGGACAAAGUGACAGGUGGUGCAUGGUUGUCGUCAGCUCGUGUCGUGAGAUGUUGGGUUAAGUCCCGCAACGAGCGCAACCCUUAAGCUUAGUUGCCAUCAUUAAGUUGGGCACUCUAAGUUGACUGCCGGUGACAAACCGGAGGAAGGUGGGGAUGACGUCAAAUCAUCAUGCCCCUUAUGAUUUGGGCUACACACGUGCUACAAUGGACAAUACAAAGGGCAGCGAAACCGCGAGGUCAAGCAAAUCCCAUAAAGUUGUUCUCAGUUCGGAUUGUAGUCUGCAACUCGACUACAUGAAGCUGGAAUCGCUAGUAAUCGUAGAUCAGCAUGCUACGGUGAAUACGUUCCCGGGUCU
rnacentral:rRNA from 1 species